GAUGAACGCUGGCGGCGUGCUUAACACAUGCAAGUCGAACGGUGAAGCAGGAGCUUGCUCUUGUGGAUCAGUGGCGAACGGGUGAGUAACACGUGAGCAACCUGCCCCUGACUCUGGGAUAAGCGCUGGAAACGGCGUCUAAUACUGGAUAUGUGAUGUGACCGCAUGGUCUGCAUCUGGAAAGAAUUUCGGUUGGGGAUGGGCUCGCGGCCUAUCGGCUUGUUGGUGAGGUAAUGGCUCACCAAGGCGUCGACGGGUAGCCGGCCUGAGAGGGUGACCGGCCACACUGGGACUGAGACACGGCCCAGACUCCUACGGGAGGCAGCAGUGAGGAAUAUUGCACAAUGGGCGGAAGCCUGAUGCAGCAACGCCGCGUGAGGGAUGACGGCCUUCGGGUUGUAAACCUCUUUUAGCAGGGAAGAAGCGAAAGUGACGGUACCUGCAGAAAAAGCACCGGCUAACUACGUGCCAGCCGCCGCAGUAA
rnacentral:rRNA from 1 species